GCCCUCUGUGGUUUCCAUCCCAGCUCAUCAGGGCAACGGAAGGUAGCUUCAUUAAUAGCUUGAUUCUCAAGGGCAAACCUUGUUGUGCCACUGUUGACUCCAAAAUGGAGCAGAAUCACUUGCCCCUGAUCAUUCAACCCAUACUCUUUGUCUACGAUGGCUGAUUCAAACACUUCAUACAACGGACCAAGCCCACCCUGCCCAGCAGUCUCAAGAACAGUGCAACUUCCAAGUGUUAAACCUUUAGGCAACCCUCUCUUUUCCAUAAAUGACUCAAGAUUGCGCACAAUCUUCUCCGUCGGAUUCUCAGCGACUCCAUGGAACUUCUUGAAUCCAGUAACGUGAACGGUAACACCAGAAGGUCCUUCAGAACCCAUCUAUCCGGUUAUGAAACAAAGUUGACCAAGGAAAAUAUGCAGUCACACAAUCUUGGCGCGGCAACCACGGCG
rnacentral:misc_RNA from 1 species